GUGACCUGCGGAGGAUC
rnacentral:rRNA from 1 species